rnacentral:rRNA from 1 species
AUUGAACGCUGGCGGCAUGCUUUACACAUGCAAGUCGAGCGGCAGCGCGGGGGGUAACCCCUGGCGGCGAGCGGCGGACGGGUGAGUAAUGCAUCGGAACGUAUCCCGUAGUGGGGACAACCCAGCGAAAGCUGGGCUAAUACCGCAUAUGCUCUACGGAGGAAAGUGGGGGACCUGAAAGGGCCUCACGCUAUGGGAGCGGCCGAUGUCCGAUUAGCUAGUUGGUGGGGAAAGCUUACCAAGGCGACGAUCGGUAGCUGGUCUGAGAGGAUGAUCAGCCACACUGGGACUGAGACACGGCCCAGACUCCUACGGGAGGCAGCAGU